rnacentral:rRNA from 1 species
GGAAGAUCAGUCUUCAGUCUUCAGCAGCGUCUGAAAGUGAACAAGGACACCAGGUUAGGACAAGACAAAACCCAGCGCAGCACCUACCUCGUCCAUCGGAGCAUCCUGAGGCCCGCGUGCCGCACUCUUCAUACUCCGGCAAUCCUGCGGAAACAAAGGACAUUGGUUAGUGAACCUCCGUGAUUAUUCUACUCACCUGUGCCUCGAUCUUCGUCAGGCGCUGUUUGUCCGCACCUGCUAAAACAAGAAGGACAUCAUAGGGGCACAGUACGCCAUCACUACUCACGUGCCUUCUAGCUGUCAUCGGCUUGCCCAUUCUCCGGCACGUACCUCGCGUCCAUCUCCACGCCGAUUGCUACGGCUACCUGAAAAAGGGAAAAGAGACAUUAAGAAGUGCAUUUAACUUCGAAAGGGAAAAGAGACAUUAAGAAGUGCAUUUAAACUCGAAUAACAUUCUUUUACUUACGUGCUUCACGAGCUCCGGCAUUCUUCUCGCUUACCUUAUCUACAUACUGGACCUGCAAUGGCGAGAGACAUUUAAGGGUCAUAUAUAAUAAAACUCCAUAUUCAAGCAAUCACCGUUCGUGCAGCUAACGACGGCCUGCUCCCUGACUUCAUCCUCUGCAAUCAAGAGGCUGGGCAAUUAACCAGUGAAGCAACUGGCAUCAGCACCCCUGCACAGACGCAGGAUGGAGAGCUCCGCUUUCACCUAUAUAAGGUGAGCAUAUUCAGCCUACGAGUAACGUGGGGAGUCCAGAAAAGGGGAAGGUCAGAUUGGCCAACCAGACAUACAUUAACCCCUUGUUCUCCUGCUUGCAGACACCUCACCCUCCAGGUCAAAAUUACGGUGAGGAGAGGGUCUAUCCAGGGUGUUACCAGAGGCCUGCGCGUGACCCUAGAAGACACUGAAAUCUCCAAGCCCGGACCUGCGCCUCCGAGGGAUUCAGGUGAGCGUUACAAAAGGACAGGAUUAAGAACCUCAUGGCAUGGCCAUUUUGGAGCCAGACCACCUUCCUGUGCCAACAACGGUAAACACGGCUUGCAUGGCAAGAAAGAGUUAAAAAUAUGGGAAAAGAUAAGCUGCCACCAGCCUUGUCCAAGCGACAUCUGCACUCCUGAAAAGUCCUUUGAGGGAGUCUAGGGCCUUUGGAAACGAAAGGAAGACCCAAGCGCACUGUACUGGGAGGUACAUUGUGCACUUGUAACAUGUUUCAACAUUGGAAAGGACUAAAGGAAACAAAGUCUCCCAUACUGACCGUCUUUUAGGGCAUAUCCGUUUCCCCAUAAAAACUCUGGCGGGACUGGAUGGAGCACAUUGGUUGGAUGGGAGGCCCGGGGCACAUUGGUGUGGGUCUACAGGGAAGGAUGGGGCAUCCUUGUUUGGUUGGAUGGGGACAUCGGUGUGGGUCUGGAAGGAGGGGAUGGGGCACAUUGUGUGGGUCUGGGGGGACGGGGCACAUUGGUGUGGGUCUGCAUGGAGGGAUGGGGCAUCCUGGGUUGGGUUGGAUGGGGACAUCAGUGUGGGUCUGGAGGGAGGGUAUGCAGGCACAUUGGGUUGGUGGGUGGGACAGGCACAUUGGUCUGGGGGAGGGAUAGGGGCACAUUGGUGUCGGUCUAAACAGGUAUGGACCAUUGUUGGUCUGGAGAGUGGAUGGGCAUCCUGGUGUGGGUGGGAUGGAGACAUCGAGGGCCGGCAUUCUGCCUCGGCCGACGCCUAGCAGCUGACUUAGAACUGGUGUGGGCAAGGGGAAUCCGACUGUUAAAUUAAAACAAUGCAUUGGGUAAAACCCACGGUUUGUGUUGAUGUGAUUUCUGCCCAGCGCUCUGAAUGUCAAAGUGAAGAAAUUCAAUGAUGUGCAGGUAAACCGCGAGAGUAACUGACUCUCUUAAGGUAGCCAAAUGCCUCGUCAUCCAAUUAGUGAAUGGAUUAACAAGAUUCCCAAUGUCCCUGGCUAUUAUCGGCGAAACCACAGCCAAGGGAAUGGUCAUGGCAGAAUCAGCAGGGGCAGGAGACCUCCAUGAGAUUCACUCUAGUCUGGCACUGUGAAGAGACCUGAGAGUUGUAAGAUACGUAGGAGGCCCUCCGGCGUCUGUUGAAAUACCACUACUUUUAUCUUUUUUUCACUUACCUGAUGAGGCGGGGGCGAGCCCCGUGGGACAAUCGCUUCUGGCUCCAAGCGCCUGGUGCAACCUGCUCCAGGCACAGUGGCAGGUGGGGAAUUUGACUGGGGCGGUACACCUGGCAAACCAUAACGCAGGUGUUCUAAGCAAGCUUAGGGAAGACAGAAACCUCCCACUGGGCAGAAGGGCAAAAGCUUGCUUGAUCUCAAUUUCAGUAUGAAUACAGACCGUGAAAGCGGGGCCUCAGGAUCCUUCAGACUUUUUGGUUUCAAGCAGGUGAUGUCAGAAAGUUACCACAGAGAUAACUGGCUUGUGGCGGCCAAGCGUUCAUAGCGAUGCCGCUUUUUUGAUCCUUCGAUGUCGGCUCUUACAAUCAUUGUGAAGCAGAAUUCACCAAGCGUUGGAUUGUUCACUCACUAAUGGGAACAUGAGCAGGGUUUAGACCCUCGUGAGACAGUUAGUUUUACCCUACUGAUGAUGUGCUGUUGCAAUAGUAAUCCUUCUCAGUAUGAGAGGAACUGCAGGUUCAGACAACUGGUGUAUGUGCUUGGCUUAGGAGCCAAUGGGGCGAAGCUACCAUCUGCAGGAUUAUGACUUAACACCUCUAAGUCAGAAUCCCCCCUAACCGGUAUCGCAGUGCUGUGGAUCCUCUGUUGGCCUAGGAUAGCAGGCCUCUGGGCCGGUGCGUAGAGCCGUUCGCCUCAGGACUCGAGUGUGUACAGAAGGGGGGGCCACCUCUUUUGUGCUUAGUGCACCGCAUGUUUGUGGGGAACCUGGUGCUAAAUCAUUCGUAGAUUACCUGAUUCUGGGUCAUGCUUUCGUAAGUAGCAGUCGUCCUCUGAGCCAAGCUUUUGUCAA